AAUAGAUACCCUGGUAGUCCCAGCCGUAAACGAUGUGCGUUAGGUGUAUCAGUGACCACGAGUCACUGAGGUGCCGAAGGGAAACCGUGAAACGUACCGCCUGGGAAGUACGGUCGCAAGGCUGAAACUUAAAGGAAUUGGCGGGGGAGCACCACAACAGGUGGAGCCUGCGGUUUAAUUGGACUCAACGCCGGGAAGCUCACCGGAUAAGACAGCGGAAUGAUUGCCGGGCUGAAGACUCUGCAUGACUAGCUGAGAGGAGGUGCAUGGCCGUCGUCAGUUCGUACUGUGAAGCAUCCUGUUAAGUCAGGCAACGAGCGAGACCCACGCCAACAGUUGCCAGCAUGGUCUCCGGACCGAUGGGGACACUGUUGGGACCGCCUCUGCUAAAGGGGAGAAGGAAUGGGCAACGGUAGGUCAGCAUGCCCCGAAUUAUCCGGGGCUACACGCGGGCUACAAUGGGCAGGACAAUGGGUAUCGACGCCGAAAGGCGAAGGCAAUCUCCUAAACCUGUCCGUAGUUCGGAUUGUGGG
rnacentral:rRNA from 1 species